rnacentral:rRNA from 1 species
UGCAGUCGUGGGGCAGCAGGGGUAGCAAUACCCGCUGGCGACCGGCAAACGGGUGCGGAACACGUACGCAACCUUCCUUUAACUGGAGAAUAGCCCCUCGAAAGAGGGAUUAAUACUCCGUAACAUAUUGAUAAGGCAUCUUAUUAAUAUUAUAGCUCCGGCGGUUAAAGAUGGGCGUGCGCCUGAUUAGAUAGUUGGCGGGGUAACAGCCCACCAAGUCUGCGAUCAGUAACUGGUGUGAGAGCACGACCAGUCACACGGGCACUGAGACACGGGCCCGACUCCUACGGGAGGCAGCAGUAAGGAAUAUUGGUCAAUGGACGCAAGUCUGAACCAGCCAUGCCGCGUGGAGGAUUAAGGCCCUCUGGGUUGUAAACUCCUUUUAUCUGGGAAGAAAUCCAAGUAUUCUUAUUUGGUUGACGGUACCAGAGGAAUAAGCACCGGCUAACUCCGUGCCAGCAGCCGCGGUAAUACGGAGGGUGCAAGCGUUAUCCGGAUUCACUGGGUUUAAAGGGUGCGUAGGCGGGCAGGUAAGUCCGUGGUGAAAUCUCUGAGCUUAACUCAGAUACUGCCAUGGAUACUAUUUGUCUUGAAUAUUGUGGAGGUAAGCGGAAUAUGUCAUGUAGCGGUGAAAUGCUUAGAUAUGACAUAGAACACCAAUUGCNAAGGCAGCUUACUACACAGUNAUUGACGCUGA